rnacentral:rRNA from 1 species
UUGCCUGGCGGCGAUAGCGCGGUGGUCCCACCUGACCCCAUGCCGAACUCAGAAGUGAAACGCCGUAGCGCCGAUGGUAGUGUGGGGUUUCCCCAUGUGAGAGUAGGGAACUGCCAGGCAUC